UAGGGAAUAUUGGACAAUGGGGGCAACCCUGAUCCAGCCAUGCCGCGUGAGUGAAGAAGGCCCUCGGGUUGUAAAGCUCUUUUGUCCGGAAAGAAAAGCUUCGGGUUAAUACCCCGGGGUUCUGACGGUACCGGAAGAAUAAGCACCGGCUAACUUCGUGCCAGCAGCCGCGGUAAUGCGAAGGGUGCAAGCGUUACUCGGAAUUACUGGGCGUAAAGCGUGCGUAGGUGGUUGUUUAAGUCUGAUGUGAAAGCCCUGGGCUCAACCUGGGAAUGGCAUUGGAAACUGGGCAGCUAGAGUGCGGUAGAGGGUAGUGGAAUUCCCGGUGUAGCAGUGAAAUGCGUAGAGAUCGGGAGGAACAUCUGUGGCGAAGGCGACUGCCUGGACCAGCACUGACACUGAGGCACGAAAGCGUGGGGAGCAAACA
rnacentral:rRNA from 1 species